GCACUCAGGACUCACAAUUAGCUCAAUCAGUAGAGCAUAAGACUCUUAAUCUCAAGGUUGUGGGUUUGAGCCCCAUGUCAGGCA